rfam:Schistosoma curassoni strain Dakar, Senegal genome assembly, scaffold: SCTD_scaffold0017338
AUCGAGCUGACGAGUCCAAAAUAGGACGAAAAGCGCCUCCUGGAU